CCUACGGGAGGCAGCAGUGAGGAAUAUUGGUCAAUGGACGAGAGUCUGAACCAGCCAAGUAGCGUGAAGGAUGACUGCCCUAUGGGUUGUAAACUUCUUUUAUAAAGGAUUAAACCGAGCCACGUGUGCCUUUUUGCUUGUCUUUUUUGAUUAAGGACCGCCUAACUCCGUGCCAGCAGCCGCGGUAAUACGGAGGAUCCGAGCGUUAUCCGGAUUUAUUGGGUUUAAAGGGAGCGUAGAUGGGUUGUUAAGUCAGUUGUGAAAGUUUGCGGCUCAACCGUAAAAUUGCAAUUGAUACUGGCAGUCUUGAGUACAGUUGAGGUAGGCGGAAUUCGUGGUGUAGCGGUGAAAUGCUUAGAUAUCACGAAGAACCCCGAUUGCGAAGGCAGCUUACUAAACUGUGACUGACAUUGAUGCUCGAAAGUGUGGGUAUCAAACAGGAUUAGAUACCCGGGUAGUC
rnacentral:rRNA from 1 species